GAAUUUCGAACAGCGGUAUACUAUUGUUGCCUUUAUUCAUGUGUUCAAAUUCGAUGCUAUAUCAGGAUUCAAUAAUUUUCGGGUACCAAUGGUAUAUCAAUUUGUAAAAGAGGGACCAAACAUAACAGAGGGACAGUCAAACUCAUAGACUGAAAAUAUACUGACACCGCCAUGGCUAACAAUAAAAAGACAAACAGAUAAAUAAUAGUAAUAAGAAAAAAAACAUAGAAAAAUAAAGACUCACCAACACGAACC
rnacentral:lncRNA from 1 species